rnacentral:rRNA from 1 species
UACGAAGGCAGCAGUGGGGAAUAUUGCACAAUGGGCGCAAGCCUGAUGCAGCCAUGCCGCGUGUAUGAAGAAGGCCUUCGGGUUGUAAAGUACUUUCAGUCGUGAGGAAGGUGUUAAGGUUAAUAACCUUAGCAAUUGACGUUAGCGACAGAAGAAGCACCGGCUAACUCCGUGCCAGCAGCCGCGGUAAUACGGAGGGUGCGAGCGUUAAUCGGAAUUACUGGGCGUAAAGGGCACGCAGGCGGUUAAUUAAGUUGGAUGUGAAAUCCCCGGGCUUAACCUGGGAAUGGCAUUCAAGACUGGUUAGCUAGAGUCUUGUAGAGGGGGUAGAAUUCCAUGUGUAGCGGUGAAAUGCGUAGAGAUGUGGAGGAAUACCGGUGGCGAAGGCGGCCCCUGGACAAAGACUGACGCUCAUGUGCGAAAGCGUGGGGAGCAAACAGGGAUUAGAUACC